rnacentral:rRNA from 1 species
AGUGAACGCUGGCGGUAGGCCUAACACAUGCAAGUCGAACGGCAGCACAGUAAGAGCUUGCUCUUACGGGUGGCGAGUGGCGGACGGGUGAGGAAUACAUCGGAAUCUACUUUUUCGUGGGGGAUAACGUAGGGAAACUUACGCUAAUACCGCAUACGACCUACGGGUGAAAGCAGGGGAUCUUCGGACCUUGCGCGAUUGAAUGAGCCGAUGUCAGAUUAGCUAGUUGGCGGGGUAAAGGCCCACCAAGGCGACGAUCCGUAGCUGGUCUGAGAGGAUGAUCAGCCACACUGGAACUGAGACACGGUCCAGACUCCUACGGGAGGCAGCAGUGUGGAAUAUUGGACAAUGGGCGCAAGCCUGAUCCAGCCAUACCGCGUGGGUGAAGAAGGCCUUCGGGUUGUAAAGCCCUUUUGUUGGGAAAGAAAAGCAGCAGGUUAAUACCCCGCUGUUCUGACGGUACCCAAAGAAUAAGCACCGGCUAACUUCGUG